GGCACGGUGGUGCAGUGGGUAGCACUGUCGCCUCUAAGCAAGAAGGUCUGGGAUUCGAAUCCUGGCCUGUGCCU
rnacentral:tRNA from 1 species